UAGUACUUGAAGCGACCAGUUGAGAUAGAUAGCUAACUAGCCAACUUUGCUUGCAAGCUAACAGUAGCUAAGACAUUACCAAAUUGGUUAGCGCUAACGUUACUUGUUAGAGGGCUUGCUUUUGUGUAACAAAUCACCUAGCAACCGCAUCAGACGCCAUGUUGGAAGACCAAAGUCAGUCUGUUGGAAGCCGUUCAACUGUUCACAUGGCUGGCUGGGUUGUGCUACCACUGGAAACAUUGACCGUUAUAGUAAUUCAUUUUUCUAAGGACCCAGAAAACGGAGGCAGUGGGAGAACCUAUUCUAAGACUUAAAAAACCCUGUCUGCAGAUGAAGAGGUCCCAAUGACUGUCCGAGAGAAUGAAGGUACAUCCUUCUAUACCAUGGAUUAUAAGUGUACCUAUAGCCCACUGAUGAAAUGCUUGUGAGGAAGCCAAGGACAUCAGGCAGGAGUGGCAUAAAAUCCACUCUUUACCAAGCAAUCCCUGGGACCCUUCCUGACAUGACAGUGCUGUCUGCUGGACCAAGUUUGAGGAGCAUGAGACCACAGCCUGCCAUUGCCAAGGUGUUGCAUGGAUUGGAAGAAAUUACUCUAAAUUUGGUCCAGUGCUGUCAUAUCAGUGUCCCCUUACUGUCACCAGAGAUUAUAAUGCCUUCAGAUGCUCCUGCUUUCCCCCAACUCCCAGUAAAAUAAACAGUCAUUUAAACUUUGUCCCUACUUGCACUCAGUUUUACCACAUGGAGAGCUUAAAGGAGCCACCAUCAUUGUCAUCUACUAUUGAGAAUGGCACCGUCGAACAGUCUGCCCAUCCACUAUGGAAGAAAUUAGGAAACCACGUGUGACUGCUACCCGGUUUAGUGAGGCAUGCCACUUGCGUGGGGUGUCAUCUCGCCAUGCCCUAGCCAUGAGAAUGCUUAAAAGUCAGCGGCAAACCGAAGCUAUGAGAAAGGGGUUUGAGCCAGAGGUUCUAUAGAACUACUCUGAAUUGUUUAAUGUCUCGGCCAAACCUUGUGAUUUCGUUGUGAACCCAGAUGCACCCCAUCUUGGGGCAUGCCCUGACGGGAAAGUUUAUGACCCUUCUGCAGCGCCACCCUUCGGGCUAGCCUAGAUCAAGUGCCCUAAUGUUGAGUGUAACUGAUGCGAAGCACAUUAAGUUUGUCAAUGGCCUGGCCAAGCUCAAUCACAGCCACAAAUAUCACUGGCAAGUCCAGGACCAACUGGCUGUAACCGGUUUAGAUUGAUGUGACUUUGUUACAAGCACUAGAAGUGAUAUUACAGUAGAGAGAGUUGAGAGAUGAUGCUUUGAUAGCAGAGAUGAGAGAAACUUGACUACUUCUACACCUACAUGGAUGUGUACUUUAAGAUGUAGUGUAGCAGGUGAGCCAAUCCCACUUGGCAGGCCACUGUAACAUUGUUGCCCAAGGCAAUGUACAUGUAAUGUAUUUAACUAAUCAAAAUUGUAUGUAGAGUAAAUUAUUUGAAUGAAUUAAUUGUGUGAUCUUGUUUGUCUAUCACGUGUGGCUCAGUUGGUUGAACAUGACGUUUGCAAUGCUAGGGUUGUGGGUUUGAUUCCCCAGGGGACCAGUACGUCGUGAAAGAAUGGAAAUGUAUGCACUCACUACUGGAAGUCACUGGAUAAGAGCAUCUGCUAAAUGACUAAAAUGUAAAUGUAAGCAAUUAUUCAACUAAUUGAAUUGUUUGAUAUUUGUUAUUUUAUGACCGGCUUAACAUAACAUGUCACUGAAUGAAUAAUCAAAUGUAUUUAUUGAAUAAAA